GGCUUGAAUCCCACCGUCGUUAUAAUAUUCUGCCGGCAAUUAAAUGACGGCUAAAGUUUCCAUAGUGGACGAUGUGCUCCUGUGACGUCCGCUUGGGUCUUAAAGCGAAUACAUGUGAUUUUGUAUCGCUGUGGCCAAUGCUCGUCUGUGCCACUCAGGACAAAAUAAACAGGAUUAUGUGUCCUUCUCAAACCUACUGCUGUAUUUCCAUCUGUGACAGCAGGACCGUCCUCUUCUUCCUCCUCCUCUUCCACCUCCUCCUCCUCCUCCGCCCGGCACCAACUUGCUUUUCUGCCACACAGAAUUUUGACAAGAGAGAGAGCAUUUACCAUAAACAGAAUUCAUUUACCUGAUUAUUGUUUCUAAAGUUGUAACAUGUAUCUUUUAUCCUUCCAUUAAACCAGGGGUCCCCAAGCUACGGCCCGCGGGCCGAAUACGGCCCGCCAGCAUCCAAAAUCCGGCCCGCGGGAAGUCCCAAGGACAGAUUUCAAAAAUGUGGUCAUGUGACUAUCCCAGGAUAUGGCUUACCCAAAAUGGCAGCAUGUCAGCAUCCUGGAAGGACGACCUCCGGCAUCAACAUGCCACGACCACGUCACACUUUUUUUUGCCACUAAUGCAAAUUUUUAAGUCAUUCAACAAUUGUAUAUUUUUAAUUCCUUGUCAAAUAUUACAAUUUAACUGUUCUUAAUGUAAUUAAUAAUAAUAUAACCAUCACCUAAUUUAUAUCAAAUAAGAGUAGGCUAAGAAAAUAGGGCUAUCUGGCUUUUACUCUUAAAGCAGUCGUGUCAAAAUCGUUUUCAUUGAGGGUCA